UACAGAGGGUGCGAGCGUUAAUCGGAAUUACUGGGCGUAAAGCGUGCGUAGACGGUUAUUUAAGUCGGGUGGGAAAGCCCCGGGCUCAACCUGGGAAUUGCAUUCGAGACUGAAUAGCUAGGGUACGGUAGAGGGAAGCGGAAUUUCCGGUGUAGCGGUGAAAUGCGUAGAUAUCGGAAGGAACAUCAGUGGCGAAAGCGGCUUCCUGGACCAGUACCGACGUUCAGGCACGAAAGCGUGGGGAGCAAACAGG
rnacentral:rRNA from 1 species